UGUCCGGUAGCACCUUAGAGACCAACUAAGUUUGUUCUUGGUAUGAGCUUUCAUGUGCAAGAACAAACUUAGUUGGUCUCUAAGGUGCUACUGGACA